CGAUGCCAAGUUAGGCGAGAUUACCCGUAUAGUUUAAUAAUAGCAAUAAAAAAAGGAAUAGAAAUUUACAAGGAUUCACUUAGUAAUGCGAGAGAACCGAGAAUAGUCCAACCUUAGAAUCGGGCAGCUCUAUCAUUCGAAUUAUAGUCUAGAGAAGCAUCCUUAGUAGCGGACCGUGCCCAAGUCCCCUGGAAGGUGGCUCCAGAGACGGUGAGAGUCCCGUUGUGCCAUGAGAUGGUGUCCAGGAGUGGUUUUUUGGGAAUACAACCCAAAUCGGGUAAUGAAUUCAGUCCAAGGCUAAAAACGGGCAAGAGACCGAUAGUGAACAAGUUCUGCGAGGGAAAGAUGAAAAGGACUUUGAAAAAAGAGUCAAAUAGUUCUUUAAAUUGUCGAGAGGGAAGUGGAUGGGGGCCGAUAAUGUGCCCCAGUAGGAUGUAGAAUGGCAACGGGUUGGUUUAUCGAUCAACUCAGGGUUUUGACCAGCAUAGACUAGUGGGAUGAAGAAAGCCCAAGCUCUCGAUAUGCUCGUGGAACACCGUCUCCUAAAUUAUGGCAGGCAGCGCGAGCCUCUGGUGUGCUUCGGCAUCUGUGCACUCUAGAAACUGGCCUGUGGGCUCCCCAUUCGAGCCAUCUUGAAAGAUGAACCAAGGAGUCUGACAUGUGUGCAAGUCAACGGGCUAGUAAACCCGUAAGGCUUAAGGAAGCUGAUUGGUGGGAUCCCUUGAUGGGUGCACCAAUGACCGACCUUGAUCUUCUGAGAAGGGUUCAAGUGUAAGCAUACCUGUUGGGACCUGAGUGAUGGUGAAGUAUGCAUGAGCGGGGUGAAGCCAGAGGAAACUCAAUUUGACGCCCGUAGUGAUACUGACGUGUUUUUUGUUCGUCUGAAUUGAGUAUUAGGGCCAAAGACUAAUCGAACUGUAUAGUAGCUGGUUCCCUCUGAAGUUUUCCGUAAGAUAGCUGGAGCUCACGUGCGAUUUCUAUUGAGUAAAUCUAAUGAUUUAAGGCCUCGGGGGAACAACGCCCUUGACCAAUUCUUAAACUUUAAAUAGGUAAGACAGCAUGGCCGCUUAGUUGAGCCAUGCCACGAAAUCAAGAGCUCCAAGUGGGCUAUUUUUGGUAAGCAGAACUGGCGAUGUGGGAUGAACCAGAAGAUGAGCUACGAUUCCAAACUGCACAUUAACCUAGAUCCCACAAAGGGUGUUGGUCGAUUAAGACAGCAGGACAGUGGUUAUGGAAGUCAAAAUUCGCAAAGAAGUUUAUAACAACUCACCUCCCGAAUCAACUAGCCCCAAAAAUUGAUGGUGCUUAAACGCGUGACCUACACCCAUCCUUCAGGGAAAGUGCCAGGACUUGAUGAGUAGGAGGGCACGGUGGUUACUGGAAAACCUUAUGUGCAAGAUGGGGUAGAGCGGCCACCGGUGUAGAUCUUAGUGGUAGUAAAAAAUAUUCAAUUGAGAACUUUGAAGGCCGAAGAUGGGAAAGGUUCCAUGUAAAUGACACUUGCACAUGGGUUAGUCGUUCCUAAGGGUCGGGGGAACCCCGAUAUAUAACAAAUUUCACGCAUACUCCAAAAGGGAAUCGGGUUAAAAUUCCUGAACUGGGACGUGAUGGUCGAUGGCAAUGUUAGGAAGUCUGAAGAUGUCGGCAGGAGCCUCGGAAAGUAUUUUUUUUUAUUUAACAGCCUGCCCACCCUGGAAUCGGCUCAGCCAGAGGUAGGGUCCAACAGCUGGAAGAGCACUGUACGUCACGUGGUGUCCGGUACACUCCCAGUGGCCCUUAAAAAUCCAAAGGACCGAAUGUCAUCCAUGACCGAUCAUACUCAUAACUGCAUCAGGUCUCCAAGGUGAACAAUCUAUGGUUGAUGGAACAAUGUAGGCAAGGUAAGUCAGCAAAAAGGAUCCAUAAGUUCGGGAAAAGGAUUGGCUCAGAGGGCUAGGCACGAGGGUCCUAAUUCUAAACCCGUCGGCUGUUGGUGGACUGCUUGAGCUUCUCCCAUGGUGACCCGCCAAUUCAGAACUAGUACGGACAAGGGGAAUCUGACUGUUUAAUUAAAACAAAGCAUUGCAUGGUCCUAACGGAUGUUCACGCAAUACGAUUUCUGCUAGUGCUUUGAAUGUUAAUGUGAAGAAAUUCAACCAAGUGCGGGUAAAUGGCGGGAGUAACUAUGACUCUCUUAAGGUAGCCAAAUGCAUCGUCAUCAAAUUAGUGAUGCACAUGAAUAGACUAACGAGAUUUCUACUGUCCUUUUCUACUAACCAGCGAAACCACAACUAAGGGAACAGGCUUGGCAACUCAGUAGUGAAAGAAGACCCUGUUGAGGUUGACUCUAUUUUGACUUUGUGAAAUAAAUUGAGAGGUGUAGUAUAAGUGGGAGCUGAAAGGCGAAAGUGAAAAACCACUACUUUUAACGUUAUUGCACUCAUUACGUGAAUCAGAAGCGGGGAACUACCUCACUUUUUGGACCGAAGGCUCGCUCUACAGGCCGACCCAGGCGGAAGAUAUUAUUAGGUGGGGAGUUUGGUUGGGGUGGCACAUCUAUUAAAAUAUAAAUAAUGUGCCCUAAAGUAGCUCAAUAGAAUAGAAAUAUCAUGCGGAACCGAAGGGUAAAAUCUCAUUUGAUUCUGAUUUCUAGUACGAAUAUGAAUCAUGCAGCGUGUCCAAAUGAUCAUUUAGACCUUUGAAAUUCGAAGCUAGAGGUGUCAGAAAAUUUAGCACAGGGAUAACUGGUUUGUGGCAGCCAAGCAUUCAUAGCGACAUUGCUUUUUAAUUCUUCGAUGUCGGCUCUUCCUAUCAUUGUGAAGCAGAAUUCACCAAGUGUUGGAUAGUUCAUCUACCAAUAGGAAACAUGAGCUGGGUUUAGACUAUCAUGAGACAGGUUAGUUUUACCCUACUGAUAACAGUGUCAUAAUAGUAAUUCAAUGUAGUAUGAGAGGAACAAUUUAUUCACAUAAUUGGUCAUCACGCAUGGUUGAAAAUCCAAUGGUGCGAAGCUACCUUCUGCUGGAUUAUGACUGAAUGACUCUAAGUCAGAAUCUAGCUAUAAGUGAUGUAUGCGCCCUCCGUCCUCUUGCCAACCCGCAGUAAGGGCCUUGGCCUUUAAUGGACCGUCUUGUUGGCUAAGCCAUUAUGGCGAAAGAAUCACGGUGGCCACCUUAAAGUACAAUUUCCAUCAAGCGGUGGGUAGAAUCCUUUGCAGGCGACUUAAAUAUGCGAUGAAGUAUUAUAAGUGGUAGAGUAGCCUUGCUGCCAUAAUCCAAUGAGAUUCAGCCCUUUGUCGCUCUUGUUCGU